GGUGGCGGGGCUGCGAGCGGCCUGCGCUCCAGCCGGCGCUCCAGUCUGCCCCAGCCGGGGCCCCUGCCAGACCAGGGGCUGAAUCCGAAGCUUGGCAUAAAGAAAUUCCCGUUGUGUGCCGAACCACGCCCCCGGAGAUGCGCUUAAGACGAGCACCGCAACUGGACUCGGCAGCAAGGCGGUCGCGAGCUGCCAGCGGGGUGUGACGAGUCACGAGGACAGGAGCAGCCCCGCGGCACGAGCGCCCCAUCGAGACCAGACUCCCCCUGCUAGCCUCGCCCCGCUUCCCCCAAGACUACGCCUGCCCAGACGAGUCCCUUUGCACUGCUAACCCAGCGGACUAGGGCUUGGCGUGCUCGGCGUCAGCCAACCACCCCAAAUGGUGGUGAUGCUCCUGCAGCAACACAUACCCCCGCUCGCCUCUCAGACGCCCUGCCAGCCCUGCCAGCCCUGCCCCGGCCCAAGCCAUCCUCCCCUCGGGUCCAGCGAGAAGGCGGUGCAGCUGGUCCCGACCGUGCCCGAGCCCGCCGGCCUCCGCCC